GACGAACGCUGGCGGCGUGCUUAACACAUGCAAGUCAAGGGGGCUGUGGGGGCAACUCUGCGGCAACCGGCGAACGGGUGCGUAACACGUGAGCGACCUACCGCGGUGCGGGGGAUAGCC
rnacentral:rRNA from 1 species